UACGAAGGGGGCGAGCGUUGUUCGGAAUUACUGGGCGUAAAGGGCGCGCAGGCGGCUCUGAAAGUCAGAUGUGAAAGCCCCGGGCUUAACCUGGGAACUGCGCUUGUGACUGGCGUGCUGGAGUGUGGCAGAGGGAGGUGGAAUUCCACGUGUAGCAGUGAAAUGCGUAGAGAUGUGGAGGAACACCGAUGGCGAAGGCAGCCUCCUGGGCCAGCACUGACGCUCAUGCACGAAAGCGUGGGGAGCAAACAGG
rnacentral:rRNA from 1 species